GAUGAACGCUGGCGGCGUGCCUAAUACAUGCAAGUCGAGCGAACGGACGAGAAGCUUGCUUCUCUGAUGUUAGCGGCGGACGGGUGAGUAACACGUGGAUAACCGACCUAUAACACUGGGAUAACUUCGGGAAACCGGAGCUAAUACCGGCUAAUAUUUUGAACCGCAUGGUUCAACAGUGAAAGACGGUCUUGCUGUCACUUAUAGAUGGAUCCGCGCUGCAUUAGCUAGUUGGUAAGGUAACGGCUUACCAAGGCAACGAUGCAUAGCCGACCUGAGAGGGUGAUCGGCCACACUGGAACUGAGACACGGUCCAGACUCCUACGGGAGGCAGCAGUAGGGAAUCUUCCGCAAUGGGCGAAAGCCUGACGGAGCAACGCCGCGUGAGUGAUGAAGGUCUUCGGAUCGUAAAACUCUGUUAUUAGGGAAGAACAUAUGUGUAAGUAACUGUGCACAUCUUGACGGUACCUAAUCAGAAAGCCACGGCUAACUACGUG
rnacentral:rRNA from 1 species